rnacentral:rRNA from 1 species
GAUACCACCCUUGUAGUACUGGGACUCUAACCAUAGGCCAUGAAUCUGGUCUUGGGACACUGUCAGGUGGGCAGCUUGACUGGGGCGGUCGCCUCCCAAAAGGUAACGGAGGCGCUCAAAGGUUCUCCCAGUACGGUCGGAAAUCGUACGUAGAGUGUAAAGGCAAAAGAGAGCUUGAUUGCAAGACAUACAGGUCGAGCAA